rnacentral:rRNA from 1 species
CCUACGGGUGGCAGCAGUGGGGAAUAUUGCACAAUGGGGGAAACCCUGAUGCAGCGACGCCGCGUGAGUGAAGAAGUAUUUCGGUAUGUAAAGCUCUAUUAGCAGGGAAGAAAAUGACGGUACCUGAUUAAGAAGCCCCGGCUAACUACGUGCCAGCAGCCGCGGUAACACGGAGGGGGCAAGCGUUAUCCGGAUUUACUGGGUGUAAAGGGAGCGUAGACGGCAGCGCAAGUCUGAAGGGAAAUGCCGGGGCUGAACCCCGGAACUGCUUGGGAAACUGGGCAGCUAGAGUGCAGGAGAGGCAGGUGGAAUUCGUGGUGUAGCGGUGAAAUGCGUAGAUAUGACGAAGAACCCCGAUGGCGAAGGCAGCUUACUGCAGUGUAACUGACGUUGAGGCUCGAAAGCGCGGGUAGCGAACAGGAUUAGAUACCCUGGUAGUC